AUUGAACGCUGGCGGCAGGCCUAACACAUGCAAGUCGAGCGAGCGGCGGACGGGUGAGUAAUGUAUGGGGAACUGCCCGAUAGAGGGGGAUAACUACUGGAAACGGUAGCUAAUACCGCAUACUAUCGGAUGAACCCAUAUGGGAUUAGCUAGUAGGUGGGGUAAAGGCUCACCUAGGCGACGAUCUCUAGCUGGUCUGAGAGGAUGACCGGCCACACUGGGACUGAGACACGUCCCAAACUCCUACGGGAGGCAGCAGUGGGUAAGUUUGCACAAUGGGCGAAAGCCUGAUGCAGCCAUGCCGCGUGUAUGAAGAAGGCCUUAGGGUUGUAAAGUCCUUUCGGCGGGGAGGCGUUACCCACAGAAGAAGCACCGGCUAACUCCGUGCCAGCCGCGCGGUAAUUC
rnacentral:rRNA from 1 species